rfam:Picea glauca, whole genome shotgun sequence.
UGUAAUGCCUACAACACAGCGUUAAUGCAUAGAAUCCCAUUAGAACUUAGUAGUUGAGCACGCUCGGGCCAGAGUAUUACUGGGAUGGGUGACUCCCUGAGAAGUCCUAGUGUUUUACAU